UACGUAGGGGGCAAGCGUUGUUCGGAAUUACUGGGCGUAAAGGGCGCGUAGGCGGCCUUCUAAGUCGAACGUGAAAUCCCCGGGCUCAACCCGGGAACUGCGUCCGAUACUGGAAGGCUUGAAUCCGGGAGAGGGAUGUGGAAUUCCAGGUGUAGCGGUGAAAUGCGUAGAUAUCGUAAGGAAGACCAGUGGCGAAGGCGGGUCUCUGGACAGUUCCUGACGCUGAGGCGCGAAAGCUAGGGGAGCGAACAGG
rnacentral:rRNA from 1 species